AAGAUUUCUUUGUCAUUGUGCCUUUCAAACAAAAAAAUACAUCUUUGAAAACAAAACAGAUGACUCCUGCCGAUAGUCUAUAUAGUCAUUGUUUUUUCUGUGCAAUGGCUCCAUAUACA